rnacentral:rRNA from 1 species
UGGGGAAUAUUGGGCAAUGGACGCAAGUCUGACCCAGCAACGCCGCGUGAAGGAAGAAGGCUUUCGGGUUGUAAACUUCUUUUGUCAGGGAACAGUAGAAGAGGGUACCUGACGAAUAAGCCACGGCUAACUACGUGCCAGCAGCCGCGGUAAUACGUAGGUGGCAAGCGUUGUCCGGAUUUACUAGGUGUAAAGGGCGUGCAGCCGGGCUGGCAAGUCAGGCGUGAAAUCCCAGGGGCUCAACCCUGGAACUGCGUUUGAAACUGCUGGUCUUGAGUACCGGAGAGGUCAUCGGAAUUCCUUGUGUAGCGGUGAAACGCGUAGAUAUAAGGAAGAACACCAGUGGCGAAGGCGGAUGACUGGACGGCAACUGACGGUGAGGCGCGAAAGCGUGGGGAGCAAACAGGAUUAGAUACC